UACGUACUGGGCGAACGUUAUUCGGAAUCACUGGGCUUAAAGGGUGCGUAGGCGGCUUAUCAGGUCUGGUGUGAAAUCUUACGGCUCAACCGUAAAAUUGCGCUGGAAACCGAUGAGCUUGAGUAGGCUAGGGGUGUGUGGAACUUCCAGUGGAGCGGUGAAAUGUGUUGAUAUUGGAAGGAACGCCGGUGGCGAAAGCGACACACUGGGGCCUAACUGACGCUGAGGCACGAAAGCUAGGGUAGCGAACGGG
rnacentral:misc_RNA from 1 species